rnacentral:tRNA from 1 species
GGCUCGGUAGCUUAGUUGAUAAAAGCACUUGUCUAGCGAAUAAGGGUCGUGAGUCCAAAUCUCACCUGAGCUG